AACAUGUGUCUGCUUCCUGUGAGAUCACAUGGAGCAUUAGAUUAUCUUACAGUAAAAUGAAAAAUGGUUGUGAGCCAGGAUAUUGAUGCUAGUAUUCAAACCCAGGUACUCUAGAAUAUCUGUAACUGCUCUUCCCCACUGCAUCAUCUUUCCAGCCACUACUUUGCUUUCUUUAUGUUAGGUACUCUAGUCAGGUAGUGUGAGAUUGAAUAUAUUUUGAAUUCUAGUUGGUGAGUCCCUCAAAACCAAGAAAUAUGGACAUAUUUAUGAACAUUUUGGUGGGCUCUUGAAGACUUUUAAGCUAUAUAGUCACUGGGAUAUUAUCCUAAUUUACAUAGAAAUCUGAUGAAUCAAGUUUUUGAAUCCUGUGUUCAUCAGUAUUAAGAAGGCAUUUUUCAAUCACAAAGGAUUCUGCUGGUGUUUUCUGGACAUGUAUUAAAUCACACCAUCAUUGAAAGGUAGAGUUGAGUAUUUUGCUUUAUUAAGUAUCUCUGUGCUUCGCCUAUUUUUACACCUAUUUUGUAGUGAGUUCAUUUAUUGUUAUUGUUGUUGUUCUUGUUGUUGUUACAUGGGUAUGAAUAUUUGUUCUUCAUGGACGUUUGUGUACCACCCAUGUACUAUGUAUAUAGAUGGUAGAAGAGGUCAUGGAAUAUCUUGGAAGUAGAGUUAUGUUUUGAGCUGCCGUCUGUUUGUUGGUAUAGAAAGCCCUGUAAUCUGGAAGAACAGCUUGUCCUCCUAAUCAUUAAUUAUUAUACCACCGCCCUGUAGCUAAAUUAAAGCUAUAUAAAAUACAGUUGAGAAGAAUGUGAGCUUUUGUAUUGAUACAGUGUCAAUUAAAUAAUGUACAUUUUUUCUUCUUUCUGAACUAGAAACCAAGAUUGAGAAAUACACUCUUUAUUUUGGAGACCUGUGUUUAAUCUGUUAAAACUCCUACUAGGGAUUUUGUGGCACAGUCUUUUUGAAUAUUGGUGGGUGAAAUGCUGUUCUUACUGAAGUUAUAUUCCUUAGGCUUUUUAAUCCAGAAGGUUUUUAGUCAUUGUGGCUGCUGAAUUAUGGUUCAUAUUGUUCUACUUUUCUUAUUUGGGAUAGUGCUUCCUUCUGUUUGACUUGAUGAUUCCUUCCCAGUUCUCUCAUAUUCAUUAUUGAUCACAUGAAAUAUACUACUACCUUUGUCCUCAUGGAUAAUUCAUGUCUGAUUUUUGGUGCAUAUUUUCAUCUGUUUAGAGUGUAGGUAGAUCCUUGUAUGAAAAACAUUUCUUAUUUUUUUACUACAUUCCAAUACACUUCCUAAAAAUCAAUUUUACCAGUCACCUUUUCUGAAUGUACUGUGACAGUUGAAAAUUACUUUCUUUCAGGGCUUUAAAAUGUAUCACUCUAUUCUCUGCUGACUUCAAAAUGUGGGGAAAUAUCUGUAACUACUGUAUUUUCUAAACCCCUGCUCAUGUUAAAAAAUAGAAGACAGUUGGAAGAUAUAUGUAUGUUGUUACAGCACUUAGAUGUGAGAACAGCAGAAUCUGUCUGGCAAAUUAUCCCAGGAAAUAGAAGAAGAGACUGCCAUGGUCUCCUACCAAUCAGGAGUCCCAGUGCCUGAGCAAUAUACAUAGGUAUUUGAAGCAGAUCUUGAUAAAGUAAGUGAUAGUGACCUUUGAGUGGAAGUCUCAAUAGUGCAGAAAGAUGUCUAUUCAGAAGUAGCUCAGUAUUUUAGGAACUGUCACUUCUGGAUUUUAAUAUAGAAGCCCUGGACUUAAUAGUGGAUGCAUGUAAAAAAAGGUUAUUGUUUACAUGCCAGAAUAUCCUGUUGUUCAACAUCCAUGAAAUGAGAAAUAUACCUUUCCAGUUAAAGACAGGGUCAAAAUUAAGUCAGGGAACACAUUUUGUUCCUACAUUUAGUAUGUCUGAAAUUAAAACACAGCAUCACUGGAGUAGGAAGUAUUGAUGGGUUUGCUACUAAAUUUGACGUUACUCAGCUUGUAUGUUGCAAGCAAGGAUCAUGAAGACAUAUGCCCUGUAAAAUGUCAUGAUUAUUUCCCUUGAAAUUUUAUGUAAUGCCAUGCUAAUAAUUUCUUAACAUCCUGAUGCUUACCACAAUUCUCCUCUGCAUGGAAUUAUAUAUACUGUAAAUUUGUGACAGCAUUAUAUUUAUUCCUGGCUCUCAAAGGUCUUUUUGUAUAUCUUACAGUUGUGAGUGAAUUUUCAAACACAUUCACUAGUAAUUUUCCUGAUUUUUUUCACUCAUCAUGGUUGUUAGAAUCCUGAUGGUAUAAUAUUCCAAUACAGUAUUUGCUUUUUUGUUUUCUUUGCUAUAAUGGCCAUUACAAAGCUCCUGGAGUUUACUUUCAUCCAUCUUUGUACCUCCCUCGUUCUACCACUUAUAAUUUGAAGAGUGGACUUUCCACCUUUAACUCCCAAGAGAGCUUGCAUGGUUACCCUCAUUAUUUCCUAUUCUCUCCCUCCUUUUGCAAAAUUUUAUCCCAAUCCUCCCUGUUAUAUUUCCUGUAUAUCUUGAGGCAGGUUUUUUUGUGGGUAGACUGGGUGUCAUUUAUUCAUAAUUAAAACUGCCCUUAUAUAUUCCACACAAAACAUAUCAUUCCAGGCUCUCCUGCCUGUGACAAUGUUGAAAAGAUUCCUGAUCAUUUUAGUUUCCGGGACAAUAUUUUGGCAUUGUUCAUGGGGAGUUUUAUUAAUUUUGACUCUGUGAAAUUUUGUCAGGAAUUCCAGUGUUUGUUCCUAAGACAGAAACUCAGAGCAGAGCAACAAGAAGAAUGACUGCUUCUUUGGUAAAUACACCCCAGGGGUCUGUUAACAUUCAGAGAUGUGGCUGUGGAAUUCUCAGUGGACGAAUGGGAAUGUCUCAACUGUUUUCAGAGGGCACUGUAUGCAGAUGUGAUGAAGGAGAAUUACAGUAAUCUAUUGUUUUUGGAGAAUUUUCUUAAAUGUGAGAAGGUGUUGGAUCAAGGUACAAAGCACAUUGUCCACAAGCAUGUGAUUAUCCAAGAAAAGUCUUACAAAUGUAAUGAGCCUGUCAAAGUGAUUCAUGAAUCCUCACAAAUUACACAUUCCAGAACCAAACAUAAACAUGAGUCUGUCAAAGUAUCGAACCUAAACAAAAACAAAAUUGGGAAGACUGGAGUUGAACCUUGCAAAUUCCAAGACUGUGUGAACUGUUUGAAUGUGUGUUCCAUCAUUAGUCAAAAUGGAAGAAUCCAUAUAGGAGAGAAAGAACCUAACACUACAGAGCAUGAAAAUCUGUUUGAUUCAAAACAUAAACUCAUGCUGAAACAAAGUAACAGUAGUGGAAAAAAGACACACAAUUUCAGGAAAUAUAGGAAAUGCUUCAACAUGUACUCAGGUGACAGUAGACAUCAGAGAGCACAUACUAGAGAGAAAUCCUAUAAAUGUACACACUGCAGUGAAUCCUUUCUGCAUUUGUCACAGCUCAAACAACAUUACAAAAUUCAUUACGGACAAUGUCCUUGCAAAUGUGGUAAAUGCUUUUAUAAUAUAUCAGGCUUUAAAAAACAUGAGAGGAUCCACCCUCGUGGCAAUACUUACAAAUGCAGUCAUUGUGGCAAAUCUUUUAUCUACUACUCGCAAAUUAGAAAACAUCAGAGAAGUCACACAGGAGAGAAACCUUACAAAUGUAAUGAAUGUGAGAAAUGCUUUCCCCAGAAAUACCAACUUACAGUUCAUCAGAGAAUUCACACAGGAGACAAACCUUACAAAUGUAGUGAAUGUGACAUGUCUUUUAUCAAGAAUUCCAAUCUUAGAAGUCAUCAACGAAUUCAUACGGGAGAGAAACCUUAUGAAUGUAGUGAGUGUCACAAAUGCUUUACUCAAAAAUGCAGUCUUGUUAUUCAUAUGAGAAUUCAUACAGGAGACAAACCUUACAAAUGUAUUGAAUGUGACAAAUGCUUUACUGCAAAAAGCAGUCUUAGAAGUCAUCAGAGAAUUCAUGCAGGACGGAAACCUUAUAAAUGUAUUGAAUGUGACAAAUGCUUUAACCACAAAAGCAGUCUUAGUAUUCAUCUGAGAAUUCAUACAGGAGAGAAACCUUACCAAUGUAGUGCAUGUGACAAAUGGUUUACUCGGAAAAGAAGUCUUGUCAUUCAUCAAAGAAUUCACACAGAUGAAAAACCUUACCAAUGUAGUGAAUGUGAAAAGUGUUUUACUGAGAAAGGCAGUCUUAGAAGUCAUCAGAGAACUCAUACUGGAGAGAAACCUUAUAAAUGUAAUGAAUGUGACAAAUGCUUUGCCCAGAAAUACCAACUUACAAUUCAUCAGAGAAUGCAUACAGGAGAGAAACCUUACAAAUGUAGUGAAUGCAAAAAAUGCUUUACUGAAAGAGGAAGUCUCAGAAGUCAUCAAAUAAUUCAUACAGGAGAGAAACCUUUCAAAUGUAGUGAAUGUGGCAAAACCUUUACCCUGAAAUGCCUUCUUACAGUGCAUCAGAGAAUUCAUACAGGAGAGAAGCCUUACAAAUGUAAUGAAUGUGGAAAAUGGUUUACUGAGAAAGGCAGUCUUAGAAGACAUCAAACAAUUCACACAGGAGAGAAACCUUACAAAUGUAGUGAAUGUGACAAAUGCUUUACCCAAAAAAGUAGUCUCAGAAGUCAUCAGAGAAUUCACACAGGAGAGAAACCUUACAAAUGUAGUAAAUGUGACAAAUGCUUUACCAAGAAAUCCCAACUUACGGUUCAUCAAAGAAUCCAUACAGGAGAGAAACCUUACAAAUGUAGUGAAUGUGAGAAAUGCUUCAGCUACAAACGUGCCCUUAUAUGUCAUCAGAGAAUUCAUACAUGAAAUAAACCUUACAAAUGCAGUGAAUGCCACAAGUGCUUUACUGAAAAGGGCAGUGUUAGAAGCCAUGAAAGAAUUCAUACACAGAAGAAACCUUACAAAAGUAGUGAAUGUGGCAAAUGCUUUAUUGAUAAAGUCACUUUUAGAAGUCAUCAAGGACUUGAUGCAGGAAAAAUACCUUACAAAUGUAGUAAAUGUAGCAAAUAUGUUACCCAGAAAUAUGAUCUUAUGAUUCAUGGAAGAAUUCAUACAACAGAGAAACCUUAUAAAUAUAGUGAGUGUGACAAGUAAAAAGCUUCAAGUAAAAGCUCUCUUAGAAAACACCAGAAAAAUCACACAGGCGAGAAACAUUACUGGUGAGGUGAAUGGGACAAAUUCUUAACCCAGAAAGAGGCUUAGAUAUCAUCAAAGUGUUCAUACAUGAGAGAAACGCUAUGUGAUUGUUUGUAUAUGCUUGACCCGGGGAGAGGCACUAUUAGGAUGUGUGGACAUGUUGGAGUAUUUGUGGCCUUCUGGAGCAGUUCUGUCACUUUGGGCAUGACCUUUAACACACUCAUCAUAGCGGCCUGGAAGCCAGUCUUCUCCUGUUUGCCUUUAGAACAAGAAGUAGAACUCUCAGCUCCUUAAGCUCCAGGUCUGCUGAUAUACUGCCUAGCUCUCUCCUUGAUGAUAAGGGACUGAACCUCUGAACUUGUUGGCCAGCCCCAAUUAAAUCUUGUCUUUUCUAAGAGUUGCCUUGGUUAUGGAGUGUGUUUCACAGUAGUAAGACCCUAACUAAGAUACAUUGCAAAUGCUGUGAAUGUGUCAGUUGCUUUACCUAGAAAAGUCAUCUCACAGUUCACCAGAGAAUUCAUACAGGAAAGAAAACUUACAAAUUAAUGAAUGUGGCAAAUGUUUUACCUUUAAAGAUAGUCUUAGAAAAUAUCAGAUAAUACAUAAAGAAGAGAAACCUCAGGAAUGAAAGGAAUAUUGAACACUCUUUAUCAGGAAAGACUCUAUUAGAACUCAGCAGAGAACCGUAGGGGGAACCUUACAAAUGUAAUGAAUAUGACAAAUCUUUAUUUUAAAAGGUGUCUUCAAAUUCAUCUGAGAAUUGAUACAGGAAAGAAAUUUUACAAAUUCUGUGAGUAUGACAAGUCCAUUCCUGAGAAAAACUAUCUAAAAGGCAUCAGAGCAUACAUAUAGAAGAGCCUUACAAAUGUAGUUAAUGUGACAAAUCUUUUGCCCUUAAACCUAUCUUAGAAUUCCUUAGAGAAAUCAUACAGGAGGCAAACCUUACAAAUGAACUGAACAAUCUAUUGAAAAUAAAGACAAUUUUAGAACUUGUCAGAAAUAAAUACAGGAGAGAAGAUCAACAAAUUGAGUGACUGUGAAGAAUUUGUAAACCAAGAAAGACCAUCUCAGAACUCAUCUGAGAAUACAUACACAAGAGAAACCUUGUAAAUGUAAUGAACAGUGAAAAUCUUUGGUGCUGGCUAAUCUCUUAGAAUAUGUCAGAGAUCAUAUUAAAAUGAAAUGUAUGAAGAUUAUUUGUGUCUGUAUUUCAGAACUAAGAAUGCAUUAAAAAAAUAGUAAUGGGCCCUUCCAGUCUGAGCCAGUGCCCUGAGCAGAACUUGGGCACUAGCUCUGCACCCAGUCCUACAACAUCCAGAAACUUCAUUCCCAGGUACUCUAACAUGCCCAGGAUUAUAAGUGAGGAGGCCACAACUUCUGCCCCAACACCGGGAGUAACUGGGACCCUCGGGGUUCAGGGACACAGGAAUACCCUCUCACCUCACCCCACCCAGAUACUGGCACAGGUUCUUUCUGGUCUGAGCUGCUGCCCUGAGCAGGCCUUGGUUGCUAGCUCUGCACCCAGUCCCACAACACCUAGAGAAUGCUUGACUCUCAGGUGCUCUAACAUGCACAGGACCAUAGAACCUCAGAAGCUUGAUCAGGACCCCAGAGGCAGCUUGACUUCCAGGAGCUAUGACAAACCCAGGAUCACAGAAUCACAGGAUCAGAGACAGCUGGACUCUGAGGAGUUUUGACACAACCCGGAUCGCUGGAGGGAUAGGCUUCAGUAAGAGAUAGCAAGGGCAUGUAGCACAAGAGAUAACCAGAUGGCUAGAGGUUCAAGAACAUAAGCAACAGAAACCAAGUCUAUAUGGCAUCACCAGAACCCAGUUCUCCCACCAUAGCAAGUCCUGGAUGCCCUACCACACAGGAAAAGCAAGAUUCAGAUUUAAAAUCACAUCUCAUGAUGAUGAUAGAGGUCUUUAAGAUGGACAUAAAUAGCUCCCUUAAAUAUAGGGAACAAGCCAGUAAGUGGCACUCUUGUUCCUUCAGGCUCCUGCUCUCUUUAAGUUUGGGCCCUCACUGCUUUUGAUAAUGAUCUGUGACAUGGAAGUGUAAAUGAAAUAAACUCAUUCCUCCUAAGUUGCAGCAAUACCAACCCUAAUGAAAACAAAUUAGUACCAGGAUUGUGAGAUAUUGUGGUGAUAGAUUUCACCAUGUUUUGGGGAGGAGUAUAGAAGAACUUUGGACAGUUGUAUGAAGAACCUAUGGUGUCUGGUUAGCUGGAGCUGAGGAAUCAGGUAUGGUCAGUAGGAAACCAGAACCACUAAAGUGAAAGCGUUGCUUUGCUGGAACAAUUGAUGCUGAGUAGCUGGAGCUGCAAAUUUAGCUGUGAUUGAAGUGUAAGAGGUCAACAUCAAGGGGGUAAACACUUCUAGGAAGUAUUUUCUCAACAUCAGUACAUGCAAUUUGUAUUCAGAGGUAGCCAAGGUUGUAUCUCAAGCUGCCAGCCAAACAUGGUACUGUAAGAGUCACCCAUGUGGUUUUGAAGACAUAAAAGGAUUGUGCAGAGCAUCUAAGGCUGAGCACUGAGAAGCCAGCAGAGGCCAUUGGUGAAAGUGCAUCAAGAGUACCAAUGGAUUGAAGGGGUCCUGGAGAAAAUGUGAGAGUUUGCCACAUGAAAAGAGCCUAUGAGAGGAUACUGGUGUGAGCACAAACCAGUUGCAGUAGAAGACCCCAAAAUUUUGGAGAUGUACCAUAGAAUGACUACCAAGUACAGCAGUAGCUGUAGAGUGGAGCCCCCCAAAUUGUAAGAGACAAGCUUUGUGUGCUGUAGAAGGCAGAACAGGAUAAGUGACCCAAGCCACUUGGAGGAAACAAAAAAAUCCCUGUGGACCUGGGUAAAAUCUUGUGAAACUUCCAGGGAGUAAAGCCUGCCUAGCAGAAAUAGGCCCCUUGGAGUGUUCCUUUAAGAAGCAUAAUAAUUCAAACCAGUAUUUUCACUCAAAUAUACUUUUACACCUUAUCUUCAAUAAUGGACUCAGUUGAUGGCUUCGCAUAGACCUCCAAUAUCGGUACUUUGGAUUUGUCAGGAACAGUAGAAUCAAACAGCCUUGGUGAAGACCCUAGAUGAAAACAAUGUUGAAAGGUGGGAAGAACAUCUUCAGAGAAAAAUAAAGUAGCAUGUAGGGGUGGAAGGACCACACUGAAUAAGAGCAGAUAGAGUAAGAACUCUUCUGAUGUUCCAUUUUUUGUAUGAAAUACUCUCAGGAUCUUCCCCAUUUAGCAUUAUGUUGGCUAUUGGUUUGUCAUAUAUAGUUUAUAUUGUUCUGAGAUAUGUUCUUUCUAUAACUCAUUACUUAAGUGAUUUUAUUAUGAUCAUGUUGAACUUUGUCAAAU
rnacentral:lncRNA from 1 species